rnacentral:rRNA from 1 species
UAUAAAGUGGCGAACGGCUGAGUAACACGUGGGCAACCUGCCCUUUGCACUGGGAUAGCCUCGGGAAACCGAGGUUAAUACCGGAUACUCCAUAUUUGUCGCAUGGCGAAUAUGGGAAAGCUCCGGCGGCAAAGGAUGGGCCCGCGGCCUGUUAGCUAGUUGGUGGGGUAGUGGCCUACCAAGGCAAUGAUGGGUAGCCGGGUUGAGAGACCGACCGGCCAGUAUUGGGACUGAGACACGGCCCAGACUCCUACGGGAGGCAGCAGUA